rnacentral:rRNA from 1 species
UACGAAGGGGGCUAGCGUUGCUCGGAAUGACUGGGCGUAAAGGGCGCGUAGGCGGCUUGUUUGGUCAGGCGUGAAAUUCCUGGGCUUAACCUGGGGGCUGCGCUUGAUACAGGCAGGCUUGAGUGCGGAAGAGGGUCGUGGAAUUCCCAGUGUAGAGGUGAAAUUCGUAGAUAUUGGGAAGAACACCGGUGGCGAAGGCGGCGACCUGGUCCGUGACUGACGCUGAGGCGCGAAAGCGUGGGGAGCAAACAGG